GGCGUUGAAGCAUGAUCGUAAGGACAUGUGGAGCGCUUAGAAGUGAGAAUGCCGGUGUGAGUAGCGAAAGACGGGUGAGAAUCCCGUCCACCGAUUGACUAAGGUUUCCAGAGGAAGGCUCGUCCGCUCUGGGUUAGUCGGGUCCUAAGCUGAGGCCGACAGGCGUAGGCGAUGGAUAACAGGUUGAUAUUCCUGUACCACCUAUAAUCGUUUUAAUCGAUGGGGGGACGCAGUAGGAUAGGCGAAGCGUGCGAUUGGAUUGCACGUCUAAGCAGUAAGGCUGAGUAUUAGGCAAAUCCGGUACUCGUUAAGGCUGAGCUGUGAUGGGGAGAAGACAUUGUGUCUUCGAGUCGUUGAUUUCACACUGCCGAGAAAAGCCUCUAGAUAGAAAAUAGGUGCCCGUACCGCAAACCGACACAGGUAGUCAAGAUGAGAAUUCUAAGGUGAGCGAGCGAACUCUCGUUAAGG
rnacentral:rRNA from 1 species